AAAACUCAAAUGAAUUGACGGGGGCCCGCACAAGCGGUGGAGCAUGUGGUUUAAUUCGAUGCAACGCGAAGAACCUUACCUGGUCUUGACAUCCACGGAAGUUUUCAGAGAUGAGAAUGUGCCUUCGGGAACCGUGAGACAGGUGCUGCAUGGCUGUCGUCAGCUCGUGUUGUGAAAUGUUGGGUUAAGUCCCGCAACGAGCGCAACCCUUAUCCUUUGUUGCCAGCGAUUAGGUCGGGAACUCAAAGGAGACUGCCAGUGAUAAACUGGAGGAAGGUGGGGAUGACGUCAAGUCAUCAUGGCCCUUACGACCAGGGCUACACACGUGCUACAAUGGCGCAUACAAAGAGAAGCGACCUCGCGAGAGCAAGCGGACCUCAUAAAGUGCGUCGUAGUCCGGAUUGGAGUCUGCAACUCGACUCCAUGAAGUCGGAAUCGCUAGUAAUCGUGGAUCAGAAUGCCACGGUGAAUACGUUCCCGGGCCUUGUACACACCGCCCGUCACACCAUGGGAGUGGGUUGCAAAAGAAGUAGGUAGCUUAACCUUCGGGAGGGCGCUUACCACUUUGUGAUUCAUGACUGGGGUGAAGUCGUAACAAGGUAACCGUAGGGGAACCUGCGGUUGGAUCACCUCCUUA
rnacentral:rRNA from 1 species